rnacentral:rRNA from 1 species
AAUGAACGCUGGCGGCAUGCCUAACACAUGCAAGUCGAACGAAACCUCCGGGAGUUGUGGCGCCUGGGGGUGUCACGCGUCGGAACCUUCCCUUAUGUAUGGAAUAACUCUCCGACUGGGGUGCUAACACCGGAUAAUGUCUUCUGACCAAUGAUAUAUCGCCCUAGGUUGGGCGGGCGUUGGAUUAGCUUGUUGGGAGGGUAAAAGCCUACCACGGCGACGAUCAAUAGCUGGGUAGAGAGGAUGAUCAGCCACACUGGGACUGAGACACGGCCCAGACUCCUACGGGAGGCGGCAAAGGGUGAUAUAGGACAAUGGGGGGAGUGCUGAUGCAGCUAGGCCGGGAGAGUGAUGAAGGUCUGAGAGUUGUAAAGCUCUUUUACCCGGGAUGAUAAUGACGGUACCGGGAGAAUAAGCCCCGGCUAACUCCGUG